rnacentral:rRNA from 1 species
AACGAACGCUGGCGGCAGGCCUAACACAUGCAAGUCGAGCGCGCCCUUCGGGGUGAGCGGCGGACGGGUGAGUAACGCGUGGGAACGUGCCCUUCUCUGCGGAAUAGCCUCGGGAAACUGAGAGUAAUACCGCAUACGCCCUUUGGGGGAAAGAUGUAUCGGAGAAGGAUCGGCCCGCGUUGGAUUAGGUAGUUGGUGGGGUAAUGGCCCACCAAGCCGACGAUCCAUAGCUGGUUUGAGAGGAUGAUCAGCCACACUGGGACUGAGACACGGCCCAGACUCCUACGGGAGGCAGCAGUGGGGAAUCUUAGACAAUGGGGGCAACCCUGAUCUAGCCAUGCCGCGUGAGUGAUGAAGGCCUUAGGGUUGUAAAGCUCUUUCAGCUGGGAAGAUAAUGACGGUACCAGCAGAAGAAGCCCCGGCUAACUCCGUG